GCCGGGCGUUGUGGUGGGCGCCUGUAAUCCCAGCUACUCAGGAGGCUGGGGCAAGAGAAUUGCUUAAGCCCAGGAGUUGGAGGUUGCUGUGAGCGGUGACGCCACAGCACUCUACCAAGGGCAAUAAAGUGAGACUCUGCCUCUA
rnacentral:SRP_RNA from 1 species